UAGGGAAUUUUCGGCAAUGGGCGAAAGCCUGACCGAGCAAUGCCGCGUGAACGAUGAAGGUCUUCGGAUUGUAAAGUUCUUUUAUAAGGGAAGAAAAGGCGCAAUGGACUUGCGCAAUUGACGGUACCUUAAGAAUAAGCCACGGCUAACUACGUGCCAGCAGCCGCGGUAAUACGUAGGUGGCGAGCGUUAUCCGGAAUUAUUGGGCGUAAAGCGUGAGUAGGCGGUUUGUUAAGUUUAAAGUCAAAGGCUGUGGCUCAACCAUAGUUCGCUUUAAAAACUGACAGACUAGAGUGCGAGAGAGGUUGAUGGAAUUCCAUGUGUAGCGGUGAAAUGCGUAGAUAUAUGGAGGAACACCAGUGGCGAAGGCGGUCAACUGGCUCGUAACUGACGCUCAGUCACGAAAGCGUGGGGAGCAAAUAGG
rnacentral:rRNA from 2 species